AAGCAAGAAGCAAUUAAUUGCGUUCUAAUUUCGACCUAGAAAUAUGGCUAAAUAGCCCUUACUUA
rnacentral:tRNA from 1 species